GAUGAACGCUGGCGGCGUGCCUAAUACAUGCAAGUCGAGCGAACGGACGAGAGGCUUGCUUCUCUGAUGUUAGCGGCGGACGGGUGAGUAACACGUGGAUAACCUACCUAUAAGACUGGGAUAACUUCGGGAAACCGGAGCUAAUACCGGAUAAUAUUUUGAACCGCAUGGUUCAAAAGUGAAAGACGGUCUUGCUGUCACUUAUAGAUGGAUCCGCGCUGCAUUAGCUAGUUGGUAAGGUAACGGCUUACCAAGGCAACGAUGCAUAGCCGACCUGAGAGGGUGAUCGGCCACACUGGAACUGAGACACGGUCCAGACUCCUACGGGAGGCAGCAGUAGGGAAUCUUCCGCAAUGGGCGAAAGCCUGACGGAGCAACGCCGCGUGAGUGAUGAAGGUCUUCGGAUCGUAAAACUCUGUUAUUAGGGAAGAACAUAUGUGUAAGUAACUGUGCACAUCUUGACGGUACCUAAUCAGAAAGCCACGGCUAACUACG
rnacentral:rRNA from 1 species